UCCCUGAGGGAGCACCGCGGGGCACCCAGGGGUGUCACUGCCAUCCUAGCUUAGUGUCUAGUAAGGACGUCUGUCUUUUGAAUACUCCUGUGAUGUUUGAAGAGCCGCUAUAGGUCUCUUGCAUGUUCCCCAGUCAUGUAUUUGUGGUUUUUAUUUUGAACUCUGAGCUUUUAGGGGAGAAACAUCAUCCCACCCCCUUCCCCCCAAGCCUGCACCCCCAGGGAGGAGAGGGGUGGGACAACAGAAAAAAGUAUGGAUUUAUUUUCUCGCUCCUUCUUGCAUUUCUGCAGCCUUUAGCACAGUAUCUUCAGUCCCCUCCUUCCCACUGCACCCUUUCUCCUCAUUUCCAUGGAUCCUUCAUCAGAAACAUGAUGGCAGCUUCAAACCGGCCCUCACCGGGCACACCUUCCUCCUGACCUUCAUACCGGGGUCACACUCGGUGUCUCAACUUAGACAUCUCAACCCCACCUCAAAGGUAGCACAGUGGUCCCUCAGGAUCCAUGGUGGAUUGGUUCCAGGGCCCACUGGAGAUAUCAAAAUCAGUGGAUGCUCGUAUCCUUUCCAUAAAAUGGCAGUUUCAGCACAGAACCCAUGCAAUCCUCCCAGACACUUCAAAGUCAUUUGUAGAUUACUUAUAAUCCCUAAUCCAAUGCAAACACUACACACCAGUUAUACUGCAUAAUGACAAGUGCAAAAUAAUGACAAGUACAAAAGUCUGUACAUGUUCACUACAGAUACAAAUUGGCUUUAGAAGUAAUCUGUUGGUUGAAUCCACAGAUACGGAAACCAAGGCUAGGAAUGGCUGACUAUAUAUUCAAUCUGAACCCAUUAUUCCUUCUCCCCACUGCCGAAAACUGUGUACUUCCCCUUCCACAUUUCUUGAGUCAUUGACUGAUUUCCAUCCAUCCAUCCACCCACCCAUCCAUUCACUUAUCUAUCUAUCCAUCCAUCCAUCUACCUAUCCAUCUAUGUAUCCAACAAUCUACCUAUCCAUCCAUCCACUUAUCCAUCCAUUUAUCCAUCCACCCAUCCAUCAUCUACCUACCCAUCCAUCCAUCCACCUAUCCAUCUAUCUAUCCAUCCAUCCAUCCAAUACCCAUCCCUCCAACAACCAUCUUCUAAACUUCUUCUCCAUGCUAAACAUUACGCUGAGUGCUAAGGGUACAGAGGUGACCAAACAGACACAUGUCUUCUGUAAGAGACAGUCCCC
rnacentral:lncRNA from 1 species